rnacentral:hammerhead_ribozyme from 1 species
GCACUGCUGACGAGUCCCAAACGGGAUGAAACAGCUGUUCAGUGC